UUUGUAGGUUGCCUGUUCACUCUGAUGGUAGUUUCUUUUGCGUGCCGAAGCUCUUUAGUUUAAUUAGAUCCCAUUUGUCAGUUUUGGCUUUUGUUGCCAUUGCUUUUGGUGUUUUAGACAUGAAGUCUUUGCCCAUGCCUAUGUCCUGAAUGGUAAUGCCUAGGUUUUCUUCUGGGGUUUUUAUGGUUUUAGGGUGAUUCCUCAGGGAUCUAGAGCUAGAAAUACCAUUUGACCCAGCCAUCCCAUUACUGGGUAUAUACCCAACGUACUAUAAAUCAUGCUGCUAUAAAGACACAUGCACACGUAUGUUUAUUGCGGCACUAUUCACAAUAGCAAAGACUUGGAACCAACCCAAAUGUCCAACAGUGAUAGACUGGAUUAAGAAAAUGUGGCAGAUAUACACCAUGGAAUACUAUGCAGCCAUAAAAAAUGGAAGCUGCCAUUCAUUCGACAUAAGUAGGUGCUUCAUCUGAUAAGCGCUGCUUGUGUAAUUUAUCAAUGACAGAGAAGGCAGAUAGCAGCAUGCAUACUUGGGGCUGCAUUUGAAGGAGAGCAACAUCCCUUUGUUUUCACAGAGGAGAACAAGCAUGAGUUGAGAUUGUGGUGCUUCUUGAAGUCUCAUCCAGAUCAGAAACCUGCUGCUCUGUCCACAUUCCAUCCACCAAAGCAACCCAUAUGGCCAUGUCCAGCAUCAGAUGGGGAAAGGCAGUUCUCCUCUAGCACGAGGAGCUGCAAAGCCACAUGGCAAAGGAUGAGUGUGUAAAAAAUAAAUGCAGGAGGGCAGGAGGCAUUGGGAACAAUGA
rnacentral:lncRNA from 1 species